GUGCCAGCAGCCGCGGUAAUACGUAGGGUGCGAGCGUUAAUCGGAAUUACUGGGCGUAAAGCGAGCGCAGACGGUUAAAUAAGUCAGAUGUGAAAUCCCCGAGCUCAACUUGGGACGUGCAUUUGAAACUGUGUAACUAGAGUGUGUCAGAGGGAGGUAGAAUUCCACGUGUAGCAGUGAAAUGCGUAGAGAUGUGGAGGAAUACCGAUGGCGAAGGCAGCCUCCUGGGAUAACACUGACGUUCAUGCUCGAAAGCGUGGGUAGCAAACAGGAUUAGAUACCCUGGUAGUCCACGCCGUAAACGGUGGAUGCUGGAUGUGGGGCCCAUUCCACGGGUUCCGCGUCGGAGCUAACGCGUUAAGCAUCCCGCCUGGGGAGUACGGUCGCAAGAUUAAAACUCAAAGGAAUUGACGGGGACCCGCACAAGCGGUGGAUGAUGUGGAUUAA
rnacentral:rRNA from 1 species